rnacentral:rRNA from 1 species
GAAUGCUGACAUAAGUAACGAUAAAGCGGGUGAAAAGCCCGCUCGCCGGAAGACCAAGGGUUCCUGUCCAACGUUAAUCGGGGCAGGGUGAGUCGACCCCUAAGGCGAGGCCGAAAGGCGUAGUCGAUGGGAAACGGGUUAAUAUUCCCGUACUUGGUGUUACUGCGAAGGGGGGACGGAGAAGGCUAUGUUGGCCGGGCGACGGUUGUCCCGGUUUAAGCGUGUAGGUGUGUGUUCCAGGUAAAUCCGGUUCACUUUAACACUGAGGCGUGAUGACGAGGCACUACGGUGCUGAAGCAACAAAUGCCCUGCUUCCAGGAAAAGCCUCUAAGCAUCAGGUAACAUCAAAUCGUACCCCAAACCGACACAGGUGGUCAGGUAGAGAAUACCAAGGCGCUUGAGAGAACUCGGGUGAAGGAACUAGGCAAAAUGGUGCCGUAACUUCGGGAGAAGGCACGCUGACGCGUAGGUGAAGUGAUUUACUCACGGAGCUGAAGUCAGUCGAAGAUACCAGCUGGCUGCAACUGUUUAUUAAAAACACAGCACUGUGCAAACACGAAAGUGGACGUAUACGGUGUGACGCCUGCCCGGUGCCGGAAGGUUAAUUGAUGGGGUCAGCGCAAGCGAAGCUCCUGAUCGAAGCCCCGGUAAACGGCGGCCGUAACUAUAACGGUCCUAAGGUAGCGAAAUUCCUUGUCGGGUAAGUUCCGACCUGCACGAAUGGCGUAAUGAUGGCCAGGCUGUCUCCACCCGAGACUCAGUGAAAUUGAACUCGCUGUGAAGAUGCAGUGUACCCGCGGCAAGACGGAAAGACCCCGUGAACCUUUACUAUAGCUUGACACUGAACAUUGAGCCUUGAUGUGUAGGAUAGGUGGGAGGCUUUGAAGCGUGGACGCCAGUCUGCGUGGAGCCGACCUUGAAAUACCACCCUUUAAUGUUUGAUGUUCUAACGUGGACCCGUGAUCCGGGUUGCGGACAGUGUCUGGUGGGUAGUUUGACUGGGGCGGUCUCCUCCUAAAGAGUAACGGAGGAGCACGAAGGUUGGCUAAUCCUGGUCGGACAUCAGGAGGUUAGUGCAAUGGCAUAAGCCAGCUUGACUGCGAGCGUGACGGCGCGAGCAGGUGCGAAAGCAGGUCAUAGUGAUCCGGUGGUUCUGAAUGGAAGGGCCAUCGCUCAACGGAUAAAAGGUACUCCGGGGAUAACAGGCUGAUACCGCCCAAGAGUUCAUAUCGACGGCGGUGUUUGGCACCUCGAUGUCGGCUCAUCACAUCCUGGGGCUGAAGUAGGUCCCAAGGGUAUGGCUGUUCGCCAUUUAAAGUGGUACGCGAGCUGGGUUUAGAACGUCGUGAGACAGUUCGGUCCCUAUCUGCCGUGGGCGCUGGAGAACUGAGGGGGGCUGCUCCUAGUACGAGAGGACCGGAGUGGACGCAUCACUGGUGUUCGGGUUGUCAUGCCAAUGGCACUGCCCGGUAGCUAAAUGCGGAAGAGAUAAGUGCUGAAAGCAUCUAAGCACGAAACUUGCCCCGAG